ACGGGAGGCAGCAGUGGGGAAUAUUGCACAAUGGGCGGAAGCCUGAUGCAGCGAUGCCGCGUGGAGGAAGAAGGUUUUCGGAUUGUAAACUCCUGAUCUGAGGGACGAUAAUGACGGUACCUCAGGAGAAAGCUCCGGCUAACUACGUGCCAGCAGCCGCGGUAAUACGUAGGGAGCGAGCGUUGUCCGGAAUUACUGGGUGUAAAGGGUGCGUAGGCGGGUUUGCAAGUCAGAUGUGAAAUGCCGGGGCUCAACCCCGGAGCUGCAUUUGAAACUGCAGAUCUUGAGUGAGGUAGAGGUAAGCGGAAUUCCUAGUGUAGCGGUGAAAUGCGUAGAUAUUAGGAGGAACAUCGGUGGCGAAGGCGGCUUACUGGGCCUUUACUGACGCUGAGGCACGAAAGCGUGGGGAGCAAACAGGAUUAGAUACCCUGGUA
rnacentral:rRNA from 1 species